GCCUGGAAUUAAUGAAUUUGCCAAGACUAGCUGGCCAACCAUUUCUGGUCCCACUAUUUCCCCGGAGCUAGGCUUACAGAUAGGUGCCAUCCAGCCUGGUCUUUUCGUGGGUACUGGAAAUUUGAACUCAGACCCCCAUGCUUGUACAUCACUUUAUUGCCACCGUCUAUCCCCUCAGUCUGGAGCCUGAACGUCUUCUGUGGAGUCUGGACCUCUAGGGAGUUACAAAGGUUCACUCAUCAAGCAUUUUCUCAGUAUGAAGAUACAGUUCACUAUGUCUGGAAGGCAAGACAGCAGGAACAUGAGGGAGCUGUUCACACUGCAUCUGCAGUCAGGAAGCCGAGAGAGAGCAGGGAAUGCUGGUCCUCAGCUACCUCACUCCUCUUUCCACUUGUUCAGCACAAGAUCCCAGCCCAUGAGAUGCUGCCACUCAUGUUCGGGUUCAUGGGGUCAUCCACACAUUUAAUCCUGGCUCUUGAGGGAUGAGGGCGUAGAGGCAGGAUGAUCAUCCUCAACAACUCGAUGAAUUCAGCUGUAUACCUAACUUGAGGAUUCGGGUCUUCAGAUGGCACAAACAGGAAGAUGGGUAGAAAUAUGGGCACACUGUGGAUUCAUGAGCAACUACAUUGCGGGAAACCUGUGAAAAGUGUGUCUUGGUGGUUCUAGUUUACUCAUUAAUAUAAUAAACAAACUGUGGGCUGAAUG
rnacentral:lncRNA from 1 species